UUGGGGGUGGGGGGUGGGGCGGCAGCUGGAGAGUGGGGGCUUCCCCAGCGGGAGAGGGAGGACGAUUCUGGAUGGCUUCCCUCCUUGUGGACAGAGUGAGUCUCUGCUAUGAGAAAGUAGAGACGGGGUUUCACCGUCUUAGCCAGGAUGGUCUCGAUCUCCUGACCUCGUGAUCCGCCCGCCUCGGCCUCCCAAAGUGCUAGGACUAACAGGCGUGAGCCACCGCACCCGGCCAAGCUGGAUCUUAAGCUUGCUUACCGGUGACUUGUUGACCUCAUCUUGGCUCAAAGAAGACACGGCCCCAGGUGUUCUACAUACGGCUCGGGAGCCAGCAAGUGCGUAUGAAGCCCCUUCACAUGGCUAGUGGCAUCCUAAGGACCCGGCGACAAUUAGUCAUGGCGUCAUCGAACACCAGGCUGGAGGAGGUCUUGGAUGCCACAGCUCCUUUUGAAUUUCAAAGACGUUCAAAUCCCCAUCUGGCUGUUACACUUUUAGGCUAUUGAGAGUGAAAACAAGCACUGACAUGAACACCCAACCAGCUGCCGGUGACAUCGUCCCCUUCUGAGAUCUGAGGACAUGGAUACCCAACCACCUGCCGGUGACAUCGUCUCCUUCUGAGAUCUGAGGACAUGAACACCCAACCACCUGCCGGUGAUAUCGUCCCCUUCUGAGAUCUGAGGACGUGGAUAUCCAACCACCUGCCGGUGACAUUGUCUCCUUCUGAGAUCUGAGGACAUGGACACCAAACCACCUGCCGGUGACAUUGUCUCCUUCUGAGAUCUGAGGACAUGAACACCAAACCACCUGCCAGUGACAUCGUCCCCUUCUGAGAUCUGAGGACAUGGAUACCCAACCACCUGCCGGUGACAUCGUCUCCUUCUGAGAUCUGAGGACAUGGACACCCAACCACCUGCCGGUGACAUCGUCUCCUUCUGAGAUCUGAGGACAUGAACACCCAACCACCUGCCGGUGAUAUCGUCCCCUUCUGAGAUCUGAGGACGUGGAUAUCCAACCACCUGCCGGUGACAUUGUCUCCUUCUGAGAUCUGAGGACAUGGACACCAAACCACCUGCCGGUGACAUUGUCUCCUUCUGAGAUCUGAGGACAUGAACACCAAACCACCUGCCAGUGACAUCGUCCCCUUCUGAGAUCUGAGGACAUGGAUACCCAACCACCUGCCGGUGACAUCAUCUUCUUCUGAGAUCUGAGGACAUGGACACCCAACCACCUGCCGGUGACAUCGUCUCCUUCUGAGAUCUGAGGACAUGGACACCAAACCACCUGCCGGUGACAUCGUCUCCUUCUGAGAUCUGAGGACAUGAACACCCAACCACCUGCCGGUGAUAUCGUCCCCUUCUGAGAUCUGAGGACGUGGAUAUCCAACCACCUGCCGGUGACAUUGUCUCCUUCUGAGAUCUGAGGACAUGGACACCAAACCACCUGCUGGUGACAUUGUCUCCUUCUGAGAUCUGAGGACAUGAACACCAAACCACCUGCCAGUGACAUCGUCCCCUUCUGAGAUCUGAGGACAUGGAUACCCAACCACCUGCCGGUGACAUCAUCUUCUUCUGAGAUCUGAGGACAUGGACACCCAACCACCUGCCGGUGACAUCGUCUCCUUCUGAGAUCUGAGGACAUGGACACCAAACCACCUGCCGGUGACAUCGUCUCCUUCUGAGAUCUGAGGACAUGAACACCCAACCACCUGCCGGUGACAUCGUCCCCUUCUGAGAUCUGAGGACAUUGAUACCCAGCCACCUGCCGGUGACAUCGUCUCCUUCUGAGAUCUGAGGAUAUGGACACCAAACCACCUGCCGGUGACAUCGUCUCCUUCUGAGAUCUGAGGACAUGAACACCCAACCACCUGCCGGUGACAUCGUCCCCUUCUGAGAUCUGAGGACAUGGAUACCCAACCACCUGCCGGUGACAUCGUCUCCUUCUGAGAUCUGAGGACAUGGACACCCAACCUGCUGCUGGUGACAUCGUUCCCUUCUGAGAUCUGAGGACAUGGACACCAAACCACCUGCCAGUGACAUCGUCUCCUUCUGAGAUCUGAGGACAUGGACACCAAACCUGCUGCCGGUGACAUCGUCCCCUUCUGAGAUCUGAGGACAUGGACACCCAACCACCUGCCGGUGACAUCGUCUCCUUCUGAGGUCUGAGGACAGACACUCACAUGGACACCUAAACACCUGCCGAUGAUAUUGUCUCCUUCUGAAAUCUGAGGACAUGGACACCCAACCAGCUGCUGGUGACAUCAUCUCCUUCUGAGAUCUGAGGACAGACACUCACAUAGACGCCCAAUCAGCUGCUGGUGACAUUGUCUCCUUCUGAAAUCUGAGGGUUGGAACACAUUGGCCUGGCUCAGUGUUUCUCCAUGUGGUUUUGAGACCACCUGAGUUGGAACCGAUAUGGGUUCCCAGCCUCACGCCUGGAGAGCUGGAUUUUGCGAGUGUGAGGUUAGGUCCAGCAUCUGCAUGUGUAACGAGCUCCCAGGUGUUUCGUAGAUGCAUUAGGGCUUGAGAAGCUCCUUUCUAGCACCAUCUUCCUUUUUGCGCAUGAGGGAGUUCAGGUCCAGAGAAAUAAAGCAGCAAGGUUAGUGGCACAGCUGGCGCCCCCUGCUUUCUAGGAAUUUAGAAUAUUAUUGAAGAGAGAGGUAUUAGAACCUGUGAAGUCAAUACAGAGACCUCCAGGCGAGUGGCAUCCUCACUGAAACCACUGACAAGUAUGCUGAAUAGAAAGUGUCAUUUCUCCUGGAAGACCCUCAGUGACCCAGCUGGAGGGUCUCUCCUACUCAUCAGCUGUCCCUCACUCUGCCAUUUCAGCAGCUCUGCUCACCCUGAGCAUGCAGAGAGAGCAGCUUUUAAAUGAGUUCUAAUCCAGACCAGCUUGGCUAGCAUUGUCUGUGUAGAGGUGUGCUAGUAAGUCUAACAACUGGCUCUCUGAGAGAGAGUAGCCCUACCUAACUGGUAGCAUUUGCCACUUCCCAUGGUGUAAAUACUCCCAGCAUGGCCAACUUCAAGCUUACUAAGAGGAUUUCGCUGAUCAUGGUUUUGGGGAGAGAUGUGCAGAUUGACUCCUGCCAGCUAGUAGGAGCCGGCUCCAGCACACCACGGCAUCUGUGUCCAGGAACCAGGCUGAGAUGUGGGAAGGCCAGAGAAGGAGGAGGCUGGCAGAUGCCUGAGGGCUGGGAAGGAUUGCAUCCAGGAGGACGGCCGUGGUGGGCAUCCCUGCAUUGGGGGGCAGCCGGGCCCAAGAUCCAGGGGGACAGAAAGCACAAAUGGUGCUGGGGUUCAGUGCCACACUCACCCUGGGGCAGAGGAGGGUGACACUGGCCCUGCCACCUGACCUCAGCCUCAGGGGCUCCAGAUCCUAGCCAGAGGCCUUGAGUGCUUCCUGCCACAAAGGCAGGGGGUGGCCUGGGAUUUCCUCUCUGAUCGGAGCUGAUGUUUCCCUCCAGGAAACCAUCCCUGCUCACCUUGCUAGGCCUGGGGCAAGUUGGAGUGAAGGGCAGGUCCCUCAGCCUUGCCUUUGAGACCUUACCUUCCACUUCAUUCCCGUCUGUGGCUCUCAUUCCUUCCCCACCCCUGCCCUAUGCUCUGGUGAGAAGGUGCAACCCUGUGAGCCCCCAUAGCAAGGUUCACUCCAGCCGUGCUUUCUGCUUGCUUUUGGUUUGUGAAAACCCUCCACUUUCUUAGAGGCCUUCUGCAAAUGUCAUUUCUUCAUAAGGAUCUUCCUACCCCGCCCGAGCCAGGGAGAUCCCUCCCUUCUCUGAGCCUAGAGCACCAUGUCCCUUCCCUGUAGCCCUGGUGACGUGCACCCUGGAUGGUGGCCCUUCCAGUGACAUGGAGGAUGUUUUCCCUCUACAGACACUGUCUGGUUUUAGGAUCCCGGAGCCAGGCAUCUCGCUCACCCCUGUAGCCACCACAGCAUUCAGCCCUGCAGCCUGGGACCUUGCUAAGGUCUUGCUUUACCCCUAAAAACCAAAAAUAGUGUGUCACCUUUAGCAGUGAUUGCCAACGCCUCUGGAGUGCUGGCUGGGACAGGCAUCUCUAUUUUCAUCCUCACCAAUCCUGCCAGGGAGCUACUCUGGGGAGCCCCAUCCUGCUGAUGAAUGACCGAGUCUCGCAGCGAUGACGGAACCUGCAGGUCCCAGGCUUGGGCCCAGGUCUGUCUUUCUCCAGGGGCCUCACAUCCAUCUCCUUCCCAGCUCUCCUUUUCUGUAAGACUUCACAGAACAGGUUCAAAAUCCAUUUGCUGGCCGAGCACAGUGGUUCACGCCUGUAAUCCAGCACUGUGGGAGGCCUCGAGGCAGGUGGAUCACCUGAGGUCAGGAGUUCGAGACCAGCCUGGCCAACAUGGCGAAACCCCAUCUCUACUAAAA
rnacentral:lncRNA from 1 species